GGAUUCCCCUAGUAACUGCGAGUGAAGCGGGAAGAGCUCAAAUUUAAAAUCUGACGGUUUCACCGCCGUCCGAGUUGUAAUCUGGAGAAGUGCUUUCCGCGCCGGACCGUGUACAAGUCUCUUGGAACAGAGCGUCGUAGAGGGUGAGAAUCCCGUCUUUGACACGGACCACCGGUGCUUUGUGAUGCGCUCUCGAUGAGUCGAGUUGUUUGGGAAUGCAGCUCAAAAUGGGUGGUAAAUUCCAUCUAAAGCUAAAUAUUGGCGAGAGACCGAUAGCGAACAAGUACCGUGAGGGAAAGAUGAAAAGAACUUUGGAAAGAGAGUUAAACAGUACGUGAAAUUGCUGAAAGGGAAACGCUUGAAGUCAGUCGCGUUGGUCGGAACUCAGCCUCGCUUUUUCGCUUGGUGCACUUUCCGGUCGACGGGCCAGCAUCGAUUUUGACCGCCGGAUAAAGGCUGAGGGAAUGUGGCACCAUAACGGUGUGUCUAUAGCCCUCGGUCGCAUACGGCGGUGGGGAUCGAGGAACUCAGCACGCCUUUAUGGUCGGGGUUCGCCCACGCUCGUGCUUAGGAUGCUGGCGUAAUGGCUUUAAACGACCCGUCUUGAAACACGGACCAAGGAGUCUAACAUGCCCGCGAGUGUUUGGGUGGAAAACCCGAGCGCGUAAUGAAAGUGAAAGUUGAGAUCCCUGUCGUGGAGAGCAUCGACGCCCGGACCUGAACUUCUGUGACGGCUCUGCGGUGGAGCGUGCAUGUUGGGACCCGAAAGAUGGUGAACUAUGCCUGAAUAGGGUGAAGCCAGAGGAAACUCUGGUGGAGGCUCGUAGCGAUUCUGACGUGCAAAUCGAUCGUCAAAUUUGGGUAUA
rnacentral:rRNA from 1 species